GACGAACGUUGGCGGCGUGCUUAAUACAUGCAAGUCCACUGAAGCAGUGGUAGCAAUAUCGCUGUGGAGGUGGCGCACGGGUGAGUAACACGUAGGUAAUCUGCCUUCAGGUCUGGCAUAACUCCGGGAAACCGGGGCUAAUAGCAGAUGAUGCAGCGGCUCGACAUCGAGACAGUUGUUAAAGCUAUGGCGCCUGAAGAUGAGCCUGCGUCUGAUUAGCUAGUUGGCGGGGUAACGGCCCACCAAGGCAACGAUCAGUAGCUGGUCUGAGAGGAUGAUCAGCCACACUGGAACUGAGACACGGUCCAGACUCCUACGGGAGGCAGCAGUAAGGAAUAUUGCGCAAUGGGAGAAAUCCUGAAGCAGCAACGCCGCGUGAGGGACGAAGGGCUUUUGCUUGUAAACCUCUGUAGUGAGAGAAAAAAAUCCCAAUCUUUGGGACAUGAUGGUAUCUCAAAAGUAAGCCCCGGCUAACUACGUG
rnacentral:rRNA from 1 species